UACAUGGGGUGCAAACGUUGCUCGGAAUUAUUGGGCGUAAAGCGCACGUAGGCGGUUCGUUAAGUCGGAUGUGAAAAGCCCUCGGCUCAACUGAGGAAGUGCACCCGAAACUGGCGAGCUUGAGUACGAAAAGAGGAUCGCGGAAUUCCCGGUGUAGAGGUGAAAUUCGUAGAUAUCGGGAGGAACACCGGUGGCGAAGGCGGCGAUCUGGGUCGAUACUGACGCUGAGGUGCGAAAGCGUGGGGGAGCAAACAGG
rnacentral:rRNA from 1 species